rnacentral:rRNA from 1 species
GUAUAAGAGACAGCAGUCGCCGCGGUAAUACGGAGGGUGCAAGCGUUAAUCGGAAUUACUGGGCGUAAAGCGCACGCAGGCGGUCUGACAAGUCAGAUGUGAAAUCCCCGGGCUUAACCUGGGAACUGCAUUUGAAACUGUCAGGCUGGAGUCUUGUAGAGGGGGGUGGAAUUCCAGGUGUAGCGGUGAAAUGCGUAGAGAUCUGGAGGAAUACCGGUGGCGAAGGCGGCCCCCUGGACAAAGACUGACGCUUAGGUGCGAAAGCGUGGGGAGCAAACAGGAUUAGAUACCCGGGUAGUCCCUGUCUCUUAUAU